UGGGGAAUAUUGCGCAAUGGGCGAAAGCCUGACGCAGCAACGCCGCGUGCGGGAUGAAGGCCUUCGGGUUGUAAACCGCUUUCAGUGGGGACGAAAUUGACGGUACCCACAGAAGAAGCCCCGGCCAACUACGUGCCAGCAGCCGCGGUAACACGUAGGGGGCGAGCGUUGUCCGGAUUUAUUGGGCGUAAAGAGCUCGUAGGCGGCUCAGUAAGUCGGGUGUGAAAACUCCAGGCUCAACCUGGAGACGCCACCCGAUACUGCUGUGGCUAGAGUCCGGUAGGGGAGCAUGGAAUUCCUGGUGUAGCGGUGAAAUGCGCAGAUAUCAGGAGGAACACCAGUGGCGAAGGCGGUGCUCUGGGCCGGAACUGACGCUGAGGAGCGAAAGCGUGGGGAGCAAACAGGAUUAGAUACCCUGGUAGUCCACGCCGUAAACGUUGGGUACUAGGUGUGGGGCCUUAUCAACGGGCUCUGUGCCGAAGCUAACGCAUUAAGUACCCCGCCUGGGGAGUACGGCCGC
rnacentral:rRNA from 1 species